ensembl:lncRNA
GAUGUUGUUAGCUUGUACUGUGUAAAAUCAUUUUUCGUCGUGAUUUAUGUGUGAUAAUUUUAGCAGGACUGCAGUGCCCAUAAUCGCCCCUUUCAACGCGUCGGAUGCCAGACUGACACGCCUCAGAUUAUAUCGACGGGAACCCAAACAAACUCGCCAGUGGGAAUGCAUUCUGUGGGAAUACAAAGUGCACGGUUGAAGUCGACGUUAGGCGGCACACAGUUGUCCAUGGGAUCGCUAAAGGCACACGUAAGAAGCAAAGCCAUGCAGACACAGGUGUCUCCUGUCAGUGCAGACUUCGGGAACAACCUCUCUUUUGCCACACUCACUGCUGACUUCAACACCAAUAAAGGGCCCAGGCUGGUGACCUAGCAAGAGACCACGGCUUGAGUUGGAGGAAGAGGAGGAGAGUGACUCCUCAAUGUUGUGCAGUUGUAUCUAGCAUCAAUGCACCACAAUGAAAAUGCAUCACAGGAGCAAGCUACGACUUCUGCAGGGCAGGCGAAGAGUGGGGAAGGUGUUGUGAAGGCCGUGAAAACAGAUCCAACAUUCAACUAUGUACAUGACCUCAUGAGGCUGCUCAUGGAGGUUUUUGAGGACCCAACAUCAUUUGAAGAGGAAAUGAAGACUAUCCCCAUCCCUCCAGACCUUUCAGCGGAAUAUACACACACUCCCAAGGCUGAGCUGGUUGCCCGUCACGUCUCCCGCUUCAAUCAAGAGGUGGUCUGAAGCCUACGAAGUCACCAGAUGGGAACUGCUGCCAUAUCCGCUGCACCACACAUGACGGGAUGACGACCCGACAACUAUGUCCUAAAUAUCCCCAACACCAGCUUACAAAGCUGCGAUAGGCAAGAUGCCUGAAACGCCUAAGGGACAAGGAGCGGAACUUUCUGUUAAACUGUUUUCAACAAUAACCUCUUAUAGGCUGGGCCUAUACUUGGCAGCCCC